rnacentral:lncRNA from 1 species
AAGUCUCUGAAUGUUUUCUACUUCACGGGUUUCCUGAGUGGUAUCAGGAACUACGCUCAACUAAUGCACCUCCGAGCCAAUCACAAAGCUUUCGUGGUGGACGUGGAGGUCGCUCUAAUGGUUCACGAGGACGUGGACGUGGACGUGCUUCGCACGCAUCAACUUCUAUCAACAAUGAGCAGAUAGCUUCCUUGAUUACUCUUCUUCAAAACCAGCAAUCCAACAUA